UUUGCCUUUUUCAUACUAAACAUAAAAUCAUUCCGCGUCAAAGACUCGACAGACACGGAAGUGCAAAGUGGACGUUCCAUUAUAGUUCGGUCUGUGUGUACAAAACAAAAGAGAAGAUAAUCGCGUUCAAGGCCAACCAGCUAUAGUGUGUCGUGUCGCUACGUGAAGUGAUUCCGUACCCGGCACAUUGCGAUGUGGCUGUAUUGCUGCGAAGCUACCGGCUGCAGUUAAUAGAUAAUCCUCGUUCAAGGCCAACUGACAAGUGAGUUGUGUCGCUGCGUGAAGUCAUUCCGCACCCGGUUCGCUGCUGUGUGGCUGUUUUGGCGCUGUUGUGUGGCUGUAACGGCUGCAGCUUCGAAUGAUCGGACAACCAAACCUGCUGCAAGGAAGAAGGAAAACGUUUUUCCUCAGUUUCGUAACACGGAUGUACAAAAAUGAUUUCUUGUGGACAUUCUAUCGAGCCGGACCGAUAGAACUCUCAUAAAGGCAACAAAAUAACAUGUAUUGUAUCGUGUUGCGCGGCUUGGAAGAGAAAAACGUUCCCGUCCCAGUGUCGCAUGGAAGCAGAUUGUUGCGUGUUUGAUAUUGCCGAUGGUAGACUUGAGUAUGAAGAUCGAAAUUCUGCUGUGAUGUGAAACUAUAACCGUUUUGUUUUAAGACGCAAUAGCGUAAGUGCUGCGUUUCUGUUAUCUGCUGCCAUCCAGCACGAGAACAAUUAUGAAUUACAACCGGCAACACUGGCAAGUUUGUUCGUUUAUCAUCAUUUCGGAUAACCAUUCGCCGAUGAUUCUAGUUCUCCCGUUUUCUCUAGUAGAAUUGCCUGCCAUUUCCAAUAAUUCUGCAGCUACCGAAAACUCCAUAACAGCCGCCAGAUAGACAGGUGCUUAAGUAUCAACGCGCCCAGGGCGAUCAGCAAGAAAUUGAAACCCGGCUUUUUUUUCUCCGUCACGAUCAGCAUCCAACGUUCGUGUAGUAUCGGAACAGAAAGCGACCUCGAGUAAACAACAACAACAACAACAACAACAAAUCGUUUACAAAGUCCGAUCGGUUGUAUCCGUUAGUGUCGACUGUGCUUGUGAAGAUAGGUGAUGAUUGGUUGCUCGGUAUGAUUUAGACAAUCGAUGCUAUUUAUCAAUUUUUCAAUAGUGUAUUUUAAACAAUAGGUUAUUUUUGUUACAUACAUUUAACCGCAAAAGAAUUUCUUAUCGGUUGAUGCAAAAACCUCAAAAUUUUGAAAAGAAAUGACUGAUAUAUAAGCGCUCAAAACCUGACCACUUUUCCCUGGUUGAGUUACUAGAUUUUCUAAUUCAGGCGCUUAACUUCGAUAUAGACGUUAGUCAAUGUCAAAAAUCUAAAUCAAGAAUAAUGUACUUACAGUUGUAGAAAGUGUAUUGAAAUAUAAUUUUCACUUGUGCCUUGUGUCCUUGCAUGUGUAUAGUUUUAUGAACUCAAUUUAUUUGAUCAAUUCUCUGGUUAGGGCAAUUAGGUGUCAUAUCUGUUACAAUUUAUUUGUGUCAUAAUUUUGUGAAAAAUGAACUGUGAAAUGCAUAUUUCUAGUGAUGCUUCGAUUAUACCACGAUCGAGAAAAAAUCGUGUCAUAUACUUGAAACAUAUUUUAUGUUAUUUGAAGCAUUUGUUUUUUUUUUUUUUUUUUUUUUUUUGU